rnacentral:tRNA from 1 species
GGGAGAGUAGUUCAGCGGCCAGAACAACCGACUCCAAACCGGUCGACCCAGGUUCGAGUCCUGGCUCUCCUG